GAAAGCAUCUAAGCACGAAACUUGCCCCGAGAUGAGUUCUCCCUGACUCCUUGAGAGUCCUGAAGGAACGUUGAAGACGACGACGUUGAUAGGCCGGGUGUGUAAGCGCAGCGAUGCGUUGAGCUAACCGGUACUAAUGAACCGUGAGGCUUAACCUU
rnacentral:rRNA from 1 species